CUUGGUUCUCACUCUCUCUUUGCCUGCUGCCAUCCAUGUUAAGAUAUGACUUGCUCCUCGUCUUCCGCCAUUAUUGUGAGGCCUCCCCAGCCAUGUGAAACUAGUUUUGCUCUUUUUGCCCAGGCUGCAAUGGCGUGAUCUUGGCUCACCGCAACCUCCGCCUCCCGGAUUCAAGCGAUUCUCCUGCCUCAGCCUCCCAAGUAGCUGGAAUUACAGAUAAAUGUUUCAGAAUGCUGCCACCAACCAUCCUGCAACCAUGAGUGGCAAGCCCAAGACCAAAAACCAAAUAUUGAGGAUGGCAAAGAAAAAAGAAAGAGACUGGACUGUUGGGGACAUCACUGAGCCACUUUGCCAAACCUGGAGUUGCCUACCUUCAAAAGUUUUGUUAUAUGACAUAAUUAAUCUUUACUGCUUUGCCACUUCUGGUGGAAUAUUUUAUUACUAUCACCAGAAGCAUUUCUUGGCUUCAAUAACACACAUACUCCAGUGUCACCUGCUUCAAGAGCACUCUACUCAUAAUUCUGACUAAUGUACAUUUCCACAUGUCUGACCCAAAGGAGGAAGAGGCAGAGCAAGACGGCUCAAUAGAAGCCUCCACUAAUUGUCCUCCCCACUGGAACACCAAAUUGAACAACUAUCCACACAAAGAAGCACCUUCGUAAGAACCAAAAAUCAGACAGUAUUUCUGGACCUGCCCUGGGCCAGAGGGGAGCCCGCUUCCCUGAAGGAACAGACUCAGAACUGCCAACAUCACCAAAAGCUGACAGAAGAACCCUUGGGCCUUGAGUGAACAUCGAUGGUGCCAGACAGAAAGUCAUCUCUCUGCUCAACUGAGACAAAUGCAGAUUCAUUGAGCCAGACUAAGGCAUAAGUGACUAUUCCUCUAUGUUCCCCAACAUGUAAAUUGUGGAUUCAGUGAAAGGCUGAUUGAAGAGUCAGAAGAAUGUAACUUUUUGUCUCUUAUCUACCUGGAACCACACCUUAUCUACCUGGAACUGUCCCCUCCCCGCCCCCCCAAUCCCGCCCUGUUUUGAGUUGUCCUGCCUUUCUGGACCAAAUCAAUGCACAUCUUACACAUAUUGAUUGAUGUCUCAUAUCUCCCUAAAAUGUGUAAAAGUGAGCUGUACCCUGACCACCUUGAGCACAUGUUGCCAGGACACAGCCUCCUGAGGGUACAUCUUUAACCUUGGCAAAAUAAACUUUCUAAAUUGAUUAAGGCCUGUCUCAGACACUUUGAGUUGACAAUACACAAAAACUAAAAAGGAAGAAAUUAAAAGAUACCACCAGAGAAAAUCGCAUUCACUAAAAGGAAGACCACAAAACAACCAGAAAACAAAUAACAAAAUGGCAGGCAUAAGUCCUUACUUAUCAAAAAUAGCAUUGAAUGUAAAUGAAAUAAACUCUCC
rnacentral:lncRNA from 1 species